rnacentral:lncRNA from 1 species
CUUCCUCCUUGCCCACUCUCCUGGUCCUUUCCAUUCAUCAUUCACUCUUCUGUCAAUCCAUCCACAAACAUCUAUUCCUUGCAAACAUCUAUUCCUUGUUUUAGAGAAAACAGAAAGCUGGCUGUGUGCCAGUCAAUAUGACAGGCACUUUAUAAGGUCUUUAUGAAUACUUCUUUGCCAUUUCUUUUCAACAGGCAAGUUGGGUAUCUAGGCUUCCUAUUGUUUGUUUAUCCAGUUGUCUGUUGAAGGAUGCAGAGUGUAUUUUUUCAUAGACCUAAGUUUUCAACUCAAUUGGGCAAUGCCUAGGAACACAUUGCUGGGUCAUAUGAUUCUCAAUGGAAUCGGACACAAAAACAAGUUACAAUGAUCCAGAGACAAAACAGCAUCAGUAACACAGCACAUCUUCCAGUGAUUGCUGUACUCAUCUCAACUCUUCAGAUAAGCAGAGCUACGGCACUUUCCUGGAGAGAACACGCCUCCACUUCCCUCUUGACCCCUCAGGUCCUAUCCAGCCUCAGUAUACAAGGGACGGAUAUAGUUUGUGAUCCAGGACCCACCGGAGCCGGCAGGGGGGUGGCUGCUGGAGAAGAGGGUGGAAGGGCCUCCGUGAGGGCUGCACUGCAGUGUACGGGCAGGAAUGUGCCGGGGCCGACAUGCUGCCCUCUGACGGCUGCUGUGGCUCAGGGGAGAUUAGAAGAAUGUCUGGGACCUCGUCGUAGGGACGUUGGUAGCACAGAUGACAGACAGGCAAGAAAGGCAGUAUUGCUUCCUGCGUGAGUCCUCCUGCCCUAAUCAACUGGAAUCCUCAUCAUCUGUUCACCAGCAGCUCAGAUGUGUGAGACGUGGUGAGAGUCCUCACGUGUCCACAGUCCAACGACAUCAAAGAGCUCCAUGUCCGAACUGCGCCCAUCCCAAUCCCUAGAAAUUGAAGUACUAUUUUAUUGUUUUCUUUGAUGCCUAUUUCUCUUGAACAUCUCUGAAAUCUGCGUUCUGGUUUAAAUGAGUUGGUAGUUCUUGGGAAGCCAUUUGAAUUCCACGUCCUAGUUAUGUUUUACCCAACCAAUUAUGUUACGUGUAGUGUCACACAUGAUCGCCUCUGUUCUGUGAGAAUGUAAGAAAAGUGGAGAUGAAGGUAGAUGAAAGAUGGAAAAAGAACAUCUGAAUAAUGAUCUAGUGAUCAAUAUACAGUUCUCCAAAAACUUGGUCUGAACUCACUUAAUUUCUGUCCCUGUAGAUGCAUCACUAAAAAGAAUGCUUUCCUUUAAAAAUGAAAAUAUUAAAAAAAGUAUAUAAAAGUACAGAAAGAGAUUUAAAACAAUAAAAAAUGUACAACCACCUCUAUGAUCCAUACUUGCACUUUAUUGUCUUCCCUGCUAACU